AUUGAACGCUGGCGGCAGGCCUAACACAUGCAAGUCGAGCGGAGCGGCGGACGGGUGAGUAAUGCCUAUGAAUCUGCCUGUUAGUGGUGGAUAACGUCCGGAAACGGGCGCUAAUACCGCAUCCUAUCAGAUGAGCCUAGGUCGGAUUAGCUAGGUGGUGGGGUAAAGGCCUAACAAGGCGACGAUCCGUAACUGGUCUGAGAGGAUGAUCAGUCACACUGGAACUGUGACACGGGCCAGGCUCCUAAGGGAGGCAGCAGUGGGGAAUAUUGGACAAUGGGCGAAAGCCUGAUCCAGCCAUGCCGCGUGUGUGGAGAAGGCCUUCGGGUUGUAAAGGACUUUAAGUUGGGAGGCGUUACCAACAGAAUAAGCACCGGCUAACUUCGUGCCAGCAGCCGCGGUAAUAC
rnacentral:rRNA from 1 species